rnacentral:rRNA from 1 species
UACGGGGGGGGCAAGCGUUGUUCGGAAUUACUGGGCGUAAAGGGCUCGUAGGCGGCCAACUAAGUCAGACGUGAAAUCCCUCGGCUUAACCGGGGAACUGCGUCUGAUACUGGAUGGCUUGAGGUUGGGAGAGGGAUGCGGAAUUCCAGGUGUAGCGGUGAAAUGCGUAGAUAUCAGUCGGAACACCGGUGGCGAAGGCGGCUUCUUGGGCCGUUUCUGACGCUGAGGCGCGAAAGCCAGGGGAGCGAACGGG